rnacentral:rRNA from 1 species
CGCGUAGGCGGCUUCGGAAGUCAUGGGUGAAAGCCCCCAGGCUCAACCUGGGAAUUGCCUGUGAAACCACGGAGCUGGAGUGCUGGAGAGGGAAGUGGAAUUCCCAGUGUAGCGGUGAAAUGCGUAGAUAUUGGGAGGAACAUCUGUGGCGAAGGCGGCUUCCUGGACAGAAACUGACGCUGAGGCGCGAAAGCCAGGGGAGCAAACG